GUUACAUUUGGCGCCCACGUUGGGACCCGGGUGUUCUCUGGCGGGUGAAAGUGAUUGCCCCCAGAACCUCGCCCCACAGGUGGGGACAAUGUGGUAGUGUAAGAUACAUGGCAUCCUACUAGCUUGGGCUAGUGGGUUAACCCUUUAGCUCGAUCGGUAGAGCACUGGACUGGCAAGCCAGAGGUCCCGGGUUCGAUCCCCAGCAGAGGCAAUAAAUUGUCUCCGUUACAU